AACAUAUUCUUCAUAUACAAACUAUUUUUUCCAAAUAAAUGGAACCUUAAAUCUCAAUUCUGUAAUAUCCCAUUUCCUUCUGUAAAUGAAUUGGUAAAACUCGUAUGGAGAAGGGAAAUGCAGACAUGGUUUGAAGUUCUGGAGAAGAUAAUAGCCUCUGAAUCAGUGAUUUGGUGAUCAAUCGUCUUCUUCUCGCUUGUAUACAUCGGUGAUUUGAUGACCAAUCUUCUUCUUUACGUUGGAGAUUCCAUAUUUUAUUGAUUUUCAACUACAUUGUGCCUCGAGCAGGGGCGUACCUAAGUACCCAACACUUAACAGCAUCUCCCUGGCGGACUCUGAAGGCUAAAAUCGUGGGCGUUUUAGUUGCUUGCAGCUAGUACGGUGUAUAUCAUCGCAGAGAUGUUUAAUAACCCAAGUUAUCAUCAGUUAACCGGUUCAUGAAGGGAUAAAUUCUGGGUUUAGAAGUGGCGAUGGUUAUCUUCUGUUGGUGGAGACACAGGAGACACCAGACAUAAACAUAAAAAUGGAUUUUUCCAAAAAGAAAACAAAAAAGGUCUGUUCGGGAUUUCUCGCAAACUCACGGGAGAAAUAGUGCAAGUCCUAUGAACUAUAAUUAUCUAUAUACAAUUACGAGAAAUGGUCUCCAGUGGCAAGUAAACAAAUAAAUAAACAAAUUUAAAUAUAUAAACAAAUAAAAUUUUCAAAGAAAACCACAAAAUAUUGAGAUGCAUAGAUGGAAAAGGGUGAAUCAUCAGAGCAGCCAUUUGCUAGCAACUACGCAAGAAAAUGGACUACUAUUCAAAUCCCUUUUACCAAAAAUGAGUUUCAUGGGUAACACGAUGCUUCGCCUUGAAGAAUAUCUCAUAUUUUGCCAACCACCAGAAAAUGUAGACGAAGAAGAUAAUCAUCCACACCAAAAACCACGCUAUACAAAAACCAUGAACAUUAAAAUUCUACCCAGUUAAAAACCUAAGUUCUUUCUUUCGCCUUCUUUCUUUCGCUUUCCUUGAAUAAAUACCUACACAUUUCUUAUUUUGUUUUCUUCCAUGCGCCUCAGCAAAUUCUGUCAAAACCAGGCACAGCAAUGGACAAAAUAAAAAUAAAAAUUAAAUAAAAAGCUGCAUCUGACCUUCCAAUCAGCAUUCGUCUCCCUUGCCCCUAAAAACAACUGCAGAAAGGAUUGUGUUUAAAUAUGGUGGGUUGCAUAGACUGUAUGGUUUCAGCUUGAACUUGCAUCGUCAAUACCUUCCCGUUGAGAGAUUUGUGAGUGAAAUGCCAACUCUGUUGAACUCAUCACAGCAUCUUCGGGGUUAAAUGUCAACCCUGUUGUACUCAUUACAGCAUCUUCUGGGUUACGAGAUGGCUUGAACGUCCUGCUAUGUAGGUUAGGGGUCAUUUCCUCCACUGUCAUCUUUUGAAACGACUUCGUCAGCAAAUCAUGGCUUGGUGCAUUCGAGGAUUGCAGGCCUGAGUCAGUAGGAAUCCUGCUAGAACUAGGUAUCCAUUUCAUCCAAUCAUUACGCCUUCUCACUUUGUCACCCUGUACUUCUAGAAGAGUUGAAGUCAUCAAGGAUUCCAAUAUUAACUGGAUGUCUUUAGUCAUGUUCUUAACCUGCAAAAGCAGUUUAAACCCAUAUUAAUAAAUCGCAAUGGACCAAUGGAACAACCUUAAUAUUUCACCAAUACUUUACCCAUGUCCCUUUUUUGAGGAAUUAAGUGAAAAUAAAUGUACUAGAAUAUAAACCAACAAGUUUGAUUGGUGAAACCAGCAUAUGCACCAUACUAACAUAGAACUUAAAUGCAGUUUUGAACAUGAAGAAUAUCCACUUGUAGUAAAAAUGACAUAACAAAGAUGACAGUUAUUUGAAAGUCACACACAAGGCAAAAACAAUUCCUCCAUUACCCAUAAGCAUUUCCUAAUAAUGUCCUAUCAUGAAUAAAUUAGUACUUUGAAAGACAGCUUUUGCCAUUAACCUACUCAUGCUAGAGGUAGGCUCAAGAAGAAGUUCAAAACAGCUUAGAGCAUGAAAUCCAUUUGGGUCCGAAACUCCUACAUCAUGCAAAUCUAUAAUACACAAAGGCUUGUUACACCUCAAAAUUUAUUUUAUUUUAAGCUCUAAUGUUCCAUAAAUUAAUCAAAGUAUCUGAUCCUGAAAAUAUAAAUACACGGAUGCAAGCAUGCAGCAAUUAAAAUAAACCCAAAUUCUUACCUACGUCAUAUCUUCAGUAUUACAUCAUGUAUUCCUAUUUUUAUGAGGGGAAGGGCAUUGAUUAAAUACAUCAUGAAAAAUUAACUGGUAGUUCCAUAUAAAUGUAAAGCCAGUACAGCUUCCCUAGACUUCAAUCACUAUCUCCAAAAUGAAGAUGAAGUUCUACAAAUAUAUGCAAAGUGAAGAUAAAGUUCUCCAAUCCUGCUACUCUUUCUACUGUGGACAACUAUGCUUACACUCUAAAAUAUGUGCUUGCAGCCCACAUUAUGUAACCUCUUUCUAGAAGUUCACAAAUAAUUAAUGAUAUUCUGAAUCCAAAGAUAUUCUGCUAAGCAUAAAUUCACAAACUUGAAAAGCUCUCUGCAUGAUUCACAAGACCUAAAAACAUAAAUCCAUCUCCAGCCCACCUCGUAGCAUGCCAUAAAAAGCCGUUUACUGAUUCUUAAAAACCCAUUAAAAAAUGUUAGCUUUACCAUAUCAAUGAUUUCAACCAACUGCCUUUCUUAAUUUGAGAAGAUUGAUCCUCCCAAAAUCAAGCACUUAAUUAAAUCAUCCAACAAGAAACCAGUAACACUAGCAUGAUUUGAAGAAGUAGAUAGAGAGAGCAAAAGAAUUCUACAAUUGCUAUUUCAAUGAACAAAAUUGAUCAUCACAGAUUAUAGAACACUGAAUGAAACAACUGUUAGCCUGCUGUCUACACCAAAAACAAAAACUUGUCAAAUAUUUUGUAACAUUUCGCUUAUCUCUACAACCUAUUUCUCUAAUCCCCCAUGUCUUACAAGAAUUUUGUCCACUAAUAAAUCCAAUUGUCCACAAUGCAUCUUCCCAUGAAUCCACAUUUAAGAUUCAUUGGGACACAGUUUUUGCUCAAUCAGGUGAUAUUUGAAUCCAUCAGUCAGAAAUUCUAGAAAGAAAAUCUCAUUCUAGCAUUAAACAGCCUCAACAAAACACUAUCUGAUAAAUGGGAAUUACUAGAGGAAAAAGUAGACCAUGCAGCCCAGCAAAGAAAAAUUUCUCACCUUUAUGAACAUACCUUUAACUUUCAUGAAAUCAGCCUCUUUUCAAACCUUUAUCAUUAAAACCCAAUGAAUACUGAAAGAGACACCUAAGAUAGCGCCAGUUGGACAAAUGACCAGGAGCUUACUUUCAUCAUUAAUUUUGAUGAUAAAGGCAUAAUUCUACUUCCAUAAAUCAAGAAAAAGAAAAAUGGAGAACGAGGGGGGGAUGGGAGAGCGUGAUGAUGGGGGUUGCUGAAAAUUUAGGUGGAAAUUAACUUAUCAGAAAUAAUAGAGAACAGAACCUAAGUUUAUCCGAUUUGCCACUUCAAGUAAUAAAAGAAAAAUUAAUUGAUUGUGGUUAUAAACUUGUAUAUAACUAUGUGAAAGCAAUAUGUCAAAGCAAACGAAAAGAAUAACCAACUGAAUAAAGGACAUGUGCCAUCUUCAACUCAAACUUCUAGGUCAAAAGGAAUGUUUCACUUUAUCCUUGCAAGAAGUUUUACAAACAAUAACCUUUUAAGUAUAUAAAGGAUGAAUUUUGAAGCAAAAAAACAAUUGGGAUAUUAGAAACUCAAUGUAAAUGGUCGACCCAGAAAUUACUUCAUUGCUGUUUUAAGACCAAGGCAAGCAUUCAAUUGGAAAUUACAACAAUAUACACGGCCAAUUUUAUGGUAUAGGAUAACAAUUUAUGCCCCAAGGUAAAAUAUCAUGAUCCUCAAGAUCAUUAAUAAAAUUCACUUACUCGAUUAAAGCCUGCUAUUAAAGUAAUUGGAACCCAGCCUUGAUUAUCCAUGUUUGACUUCAAAUAUUCAUCUUUAAUUAAAUUAGCAUCACUGAAAUAAUAUUCUAUCUGAAUGACUAACAUAACAGACAAAGGAGGCUCAUGAACAGGCACAAUCAUUGCAGGUGCUGGUCCAUUAGUGAUGAAAGGCAUCCUAAAGGUUUCCAAUGACAUUGUAGGAAUAUAUACCAAAUCUGAAUAGAGCAAAUGAAUUAAUUCAAAAUCCACAAUAAAAUUAUUUUUGUCCAUAAAACAAAAUGUAUUGUAUUAGUGAAUGGAGAGUGUUACUACCACCCAUAAACUGGAGUUUAAAAAAGGAGAUCAUAAGCAAAACCAAAUUAUUAUUUGGAAUACAACUUAUCAAUCAAAUUGCAAAAAUUAGCAAAAAGCUAGCUGUUUUUAACAUUUUGUCAAUCCCAAAACCAACAGAGAUAGGGUGCCUUUCAUUUUAGAGAGUUGGAUGGCUUCCACAUCAAACAAUAAACAUGUUCAUUAGGAAAACCUUACCAGAAAAGCCCAUGUGGUUCCCAAAAGGUCUUACGUGCUGAGGUGGAACAAAUGCGGCAGUAUUGGGUGGAGGAGGCCUAACAAAGCCCCUUGGAGAUCUCUGUGGGUGCCCAUGAACAUCCCUGAAAUUCCCAUAAUGUCCACGGUCUUGAUCACGCCUUCCCCCAAAAUUGUUCUGGUAGGGACCAUCUCCACGUUGUCCAAAGUUGCCUCUCCGGGAAGAAUGUCUGUGAUCAUUUACCACAGGUGGCUGAGGUCCAAACCCCCCAGCUGGUCUAGGUUCCCAAUAGUUACUCCUGUAUGAAGGGUCUCUUGGAGAUUGAUCCGGUAUUGCUGGGACAAGAUUCCCAUAACCAUUGGGAGACAUUGCAAAUAUAGGAAGUGGUGGUGGUGGCGGAGGAGAACGAGAAAAGCUGCUGUGAGAAUAACCACCUCCAGAGCUACUACCGCCACUGCCCCCCCGCUUCAUGGACUUCUGUCGAGUUGGCAUCGCAUAGUUUGAUACAGAAUUAGAUUUUGCAUUACUAGAAGCUUGACUGUGAGGCGAAUCAGGUAUUACAGGUCCCUGAGGCCCAUCAGAAACGAUCUUCGAAGAAGAAUCGGCGGCUAUUGAUUUAGGAGAAGGUUUGGUGGAUUCAGAUAGAGCAGGCCAUGAAUCGGCUCCCAUCACAGAACUACGCUCAGCUGCGCCAUUUAACGGUUUCUUCCAAGCUGGCUUCUUUGGCCUACCCACAUUGGCGCUGUUACUGUCCGAAGUAUCUGGCCCGACAAAAUUAUCUGCUGCCGGCAGCGGUGUAGAAAGCGGCUUACGAGGGGAGCAAUCAGAAAAAUUAGAUUGCUGCUCCCUGGAAGAAGUCAGAAGAGACGACGGUGACGUCAAGGGAUGAAGAGCCGGAAUCGAUUCCGGCUCACCCAGCACAACUUUAGCCCACGGAGAUGGCAAAUUUUUCCUACUGUGAGGACUGUUGACACCAUCUCCAGAACCAGCGCCUCGCGGGGAUUGAGACGAAUGAGAUUGCGAAUCCGCAGUCAUCGCCAUUAGGGUUUCAGAAAAGGAAAAAAACAGUGUAUUUUGAUCAAUAUAAAACAAAAAUUGGUCAAUUAAUUAAUUAAUUAAUCAACCAACGACUGAAAACAGAACGAUGUUAUUGGAAAAAUGCACCAAAAUGGAAAAAUCUGGGGACGAUCUAACACGUGAAAUUUACGCGCCGUCACAGCCCCUCCUUCCGUCUCAGUUUCCUUCUCCCUUCUCUCUGAUACCGUUUUAUUUGAUUUCUUUUCAGGGAGUAGUGAGGAAGAUGCAGGAUUUGUUAUGUUCUGAGUGCAAGCUACAAUUACUAAAAUAUCCUUCUUUGAAUUUUAUGGGAAGUUGGAAAAAGAGUUUUGCUUGAGCUGUGUUUCUUU
rnacentral:misc_RNA from 1 species